CACUGCUCCCUUCUCCAACUGAACAGCACAUACCUUGUCGACAUGCCCAAAAAGACCACAGGUGUAGCAAAAAGUCCGGAAGAAAUUCAUAUUCAACCGGACACCGGAGUGUUUUAUCUUGCCCUUCUCCAACCAGCACAGGAACACCACGCAUGAGGGGCUGAGUGAUGUCUAGUUUCACCUUGAUUCUCAGAAAUCUCCCCACCGCCGUUUCAACAUCAUCCAUCUCCAUAGCCUCAUCAAUCCAUACGACUUAUUCAUCAUACCUAGCAGAAGCUUCAUCACUCUCAUCCAAAUCCAUCUCCUCAAUUGAUUUGAACUCAUCAAUCCAUGGUCCCUCCUCCAAAGCCCUCCUCUUUCCCGACUCUUGCAAAAAAAGUGAACAAAAAAUGAUUCUCACCCAAAUCCUUGCACUACACCCCCUUAAUAGGACACCAGAUGGGCGAGCCCGUCAGCGAAUUUCGUGAGGCCAAAAGGCCAAAAUUACUCUAGAAAAUCUAGGGAAAAAAAGCCAAAACUGCUGCCUAAACCUCAGUCCCUCCAAAAUCCUAAAACCCCUAUUUUCCUACCCACUAAACCGUAGGCAGUCCCGCGGCGGCGAUGGCGACCGGCGGGACAAGCCCCCGUCCCUCGACGACGACAUGGCCGACCUCGCCUCCCUCGACGUCUCGGCCGCCUCAUCUGCCGCUGCAGCCGGCGCCCCCUCUACCCGCUUCCGCCCCAGGACCAAGGGCAAGCCCAAGCCGAAGCCCGAGGUCCCCAAGCCCGAACCGCUGGCCGUGCUCAAAUCAGAGCCGGAGCCGGAUCCGGAACCAGAGCCGGUGCCAGGGCCCGUGGCCACCCCCGCGCCGCCGCCGGAGGAUGAUCGCGUGGACGCUAUGGACGAGGACGUGGCGGGGGACGCUACUAGUCCUGGAGAGGUGCCGGCGGCGGCGGCGGAGGAGGAGGACUUCGUGGUGCGCGAGAUCGAUGUGUACUUCACUCCCAAGCCCUUCGACGACGACACCAAGGGAUCUACGUGAUCGAGUCGUGGACGAAGGGCUGGUCCGACUUGCAUAUGGGAUGGACUAAGGCCAACAUGUCAACAACACAAGACGGACCAAACCAAAAAUUUAGCUGUACAUUAUGCAAUAUCCCCUGAGGCCAUGUUGGCGGCCAUAUGAGUUAAAUGAGAUAUGUGAAGAGGUUCGCGUGAAGCCAUUGAGAUCAGAAGUUGAAGUUGAUUUGAGUGUCAAUAAACAGAGUGAAAAUUAUGACCAAGAGGCACCUUUGGGACUGACAAAACAGACACUUUCAUCAUCAAAGGCAGAAGAUGUUUCUGAUUAUGCGGUUGGAGUUCUUAAAGGCAACUUGGUUCAUUUGAAUCAUAUUGAUGCUGUGGUGCAACUGCGACCAUCAAUGCACAUGUGAUUUCUGGUCGAGCAUAUAAUAGGCAGGCUUUACAAUCUCGGGAAAUGAAUGGUGGUGCUAGUGGCUCAAAGGCUCCAUCUCGUAAGGGAGAUGAGCGCCCAGAAGAUUCCAAGGAUCACACAGAAGAUUCUGAGCCAUGGAUUUCUCUCACGUACCAACCAGCAGGGAGUAAUAUUGCAACCAAGUACCAUAACAAGAUGAUAUCAAAUGAGGGUGUUCCUAUUGAUUUCACAAUGAGAAAGUGAAUGUUUUCAUUCAUUGGUUUUCAUCUUGUCUUCUAAAAAGUGGUUCAGUUAUACUGCAGCUCUGUUUGUGAUCAUUUGCUUUUCUUAAAUGGAUAUAUGUACACACCAGAACACAUAGUACAUAAUUAAUAUAAUAUUAGAUUGGAAGCCUCACUGAAACUGUAGUAGUAUUGAAGUAUCUUUCGAAUGUUCACAUGUCCAGUUUAAAUUUUCAUAAAUGUUGAUAAUGAAAGUACUAGGUGUAUGGCAAGAUUUCAUUUUUGGGAGGGUCGAGGGUAACUUUCUGAAAAAAAUAGUAGAUUUGCCAAUAUUGAACUUAACCAGAUUACAUCAAAAUUGGCAUAAACUAGAAACUGAUAUGGCCUUUAGUUGUAACAGUGGAGUGCUGGAUUAUAUUUAUUGUUUGCAACAAAUUUGUCUAAAUGGAUCCAAUAAGAUUAUUUUACUAUAUCGCAUAAAACAUGCUGCUUGUUUGCAGUUUUUUUGGUUCCUGUUUGCUUGUCAGUUUAUUUAGCAAGAUACGAUUGCUGUUGUGGUGUCAUAUUCUGUUGUAAAAGACAGGCUGAAAGAUGGCAUGAAACCUAUUGCCUAAAUAACAGUAAGCUGGCAUUAAGAUGGGUUAGUCGGGUAAUGCGCAAUCAAGCACUAGGCAGAAGGGUGGUGCCUUGUGUGGAGGCUGGUAGGUGACUGCCUUAUAGACCAGCGGUCACAUUGGCUGGUUUGAAUACCGACUUCCCUAGCUAGGACCACUUCGGAGCACUUGAUUGUCAAUAUAUGAAUAGGAAAAACAUGUGAUUGUAUUUUUUGAAUCCUAUGAAGUUAGCUCAGGAAUUGUUCACCUGAGUGUUUGAUUUGGCACAUAAUGGCCAAAAAAGAACAUACAGUUUUGAGAUUUGUAGUUUCCAUAGGUAUGGAUCAAGAGUGUUGAUUCCAAAGCUUUCAAUGUUCAUAAUAUUGAGAUAGCGAGACUGCAAAUAGUGCAUAUUCUAUGUAGGCAUGGUAUAAAAAAAACGAAAUUAUUUCUUCCAAAACAGGUUUGGUGUAGACUAGAUACUGAUCUUAACGAGAGCUGAAAGCAGAGAAUAUCUGAGUAAAAAAAAUAGUAAUACUAUCUUAGUUUCAUGUGCUCUAGAUAAUUAAACAUGACAAAAGUCUCUCUUGGCUGCAUCCUCCCAGUUCAUAUUGGUUGUAACUAAAAGAAAUAUCAUGAAACAGUUUACUAGAACUGCAAUAUCUACAUUUGAGUAUUUAAAUUUAUUUCGUUGGCAUCUUAUGUUUCCUCAUUUGCUUGUUGUUAUCUUUGUUAGGGGUAAUGUGAAGUUUCAUCAAACAAUCGUCCUUUUUACCUACUUUGCCAGCACAACUGAUCCUGUCUUAUUGUUCAGGACUGAUUAUGUAAUGUCCUUGUGUCCUGGAGCCUCAACUAGCAGCAAGCAUAUUAACAAAUGCCAAGCAAUAAGGGAGACGCUUUUGCUUCCACUUGAAGAACGCCUGAAAAAAUGGUUUACUGAGGUUUCAGAAGUAAACCAAUUUGAUGCUCUGAAGCACCUUGCUCCUACCUAUUCAGAGGAAGAAAUCCUGAAAGUCCUUCCAGACUAUGCAUAUUUGGUGCGUGGUUUAUGGGUCUGCAAAAGUUCUUUGUUGUUUGAUGAUGGAUAUGCUUCCAAAAGAGACAGAAUUCUUCUUGAAUUUACAAAAAAGGGGUCCAUCCCUGAGAAAAUUCUACAAGUAUGGAUCAAACCAGAUGACCUUAGGAGGAAGAGGAUACUGUUCCCAUUAUGUAAAAGACGUCGAGUUUUGAAGGACUAUAAAUUUAUAUCCUCAGAUUUGUCCUUUCUAAAACGCUAUCCUCACAUAGUCAAUGAACAAGAGUGCUUGGUCCACUCAUGGGAUGACUAUACGUGAGCCUCUUGAAAUGUAAAGUGGCACGGAAUACCAGGAAUUGAACCAGACCUAAUGUUUUUUCUAAAGGGCCUAAUCCAAAUACAAGCAUAGGGUAGGGAUGGCCCUGCUCAAGGAAGUGAUGACCAUGUGCUGUCUGUUUUGGGUA